rnacentral:lncRNA from 1 species
GGCUUUCAGGACUCGGUUCUUUCUCUCACCCUCUCACCUUCCACAACAGGAGGAUCCACAAGGAAGACCCUCACCAGAUGCCAGCACCUUGAUGUUAAACUUCCCAGUCUCCAGAGCUGUGCAAAAUACAUUUCUGUUCAUUAUAAAUUACCCAGUUUCAGGUAUUCUGUUAUAGCAGCACAGAACAGACUAAGACAGAGUGAAAGUUUGUUGUUGAUUUUCCUUUGGUGAGGCUGUGAGCUCUGUGGAUGGGUGUCUCGGGGAGAAGCAGGUCCUUCAGUUUGGGAGCACUGAGUUGAGAGAGCAGCAACAAGGAACCAAGCAGAUGCUGUGCCCAGGACUCCUGGCUACCGAGAGGCCAGCAGGAAAGAGAAAUGCCGCAGGAGUCGCAGAUGGAUAAGCAGGAAAGUGAGAAGAACCUAUAAGAAAUAAAACUUGGAGUGAUCAUCUGCGAGCAGGCAGUCACAGCCACAAAAGCAACAGUCGCUUCAGUGGCAGCGCCGGCAGCCAGGGGCUUUCAGGUGUUUCCCGCCAAGGUGCUCCGGAGACAUGGAACAGACGCCACAUGAGGGAUUUUGUACCUCGAUAGACUUGAUGACAGUUUUUUUUAAAAGGCAGGAGAAGGGGAGCUGGAGAGGGGAGCAUUGUAGCCCCAGCCCAGGCUUGAAGGUUGGGACUAAACAAAGUGAUGACUGGUAGAAUAACAGCUCACACUUACUGAGCUCUUACUGCCUGGCAAGCUCUCUUCUGUGUUCUUUUUUCUUUAUUUAUAUUUUGAACUUUUAUUUGAAGUUCAGGGGUACAUGUGUGGGUUUGUUAUAUAGGUAAACUUGUCAUGAGAGUUUGUUGUAGUUUAUUUUGUGGUACUAAGCCUAGUACCCAUUACUUAUUUUUCCUAAUCCUCUCCCUUCUUCCAUUCUCCAGCCCCAGUGUGUGCUGUUCCCCUCGAUGUGUCCAUGUGUUCUUAUUAUUUAGCGCCCACUCAUAAGUGAGAACAUGCAGCAUUUGGAUUUCUGUUCCUGUGUUAGUUUUGCUGAAGGACAAUGACCCCCGGCUCCAUCUGUGUCCCUGCAGAGAACAUGAUCUUGCACAUUCUUAUCACCGCAGAGUAUUCCAUGCUGUGUAUGUUGCCUUAAUUCAUCGGCUCUUUAUGACAACCCUGGGACAUAUGUCCUACUGUUAUCCCCACAUCGGCACAUGAGAACACUGGUCAUCCAGAGGUUAAGAAACAUUUCUAAGGUCACAGAGCUAGUGCAAGGUAGGAAUGGAAUGAGCAGCCCAGAGAGCACUGGAUUAAACACUGUGCUAAACACCCACAGGCAAUGGAGAGGAAAUGCAUUAGAUUUGUUAUAUGGAAAUCUGUCUUUAAAUAAUACCAUCUUCAGAUAUAUCAUUGUGAAAAUUACCUAGAAAUAUAUACACUAAUAUGUUUUAAAAAGAAUAAAGAAUAUUCUUUUACUUAAUGUGUUCUUAAAUGAAAUAAGUAUCUUUCAGUUUAGAUUUUGAAACAAGUGUUGUUUUGGGACUCUGUUCACUGACAUAGUAUUUAGAACUUUUGCAUCAAUAUUUGUAAGUGGUAUUAGUCUGUAAUCUAAUUUCACUGUGCUGUGUUUAUCAGGUUAUAUCCAUUUUAUACUUUAUAAAGCUAAUUUGAAUAUUUUAUUUAUGUUCAUUGGCUGCAGCAAUUUAUGUAUCAUUUGAAUUAUUUCAUCUUUGAAUGUUUGUUGGAAUUCACCUGUGAAACUAUUCAGGGCUGGGUGUGGUGGCUCAUGCCUGUAAUCCCAGCACUUUGGGAGGCCGAGGCAGGCAGAUUGCCUGAGGUCAAGAGUUCGAGACUAACCUGGUCAACAUGGUGAAACCCAAUCUCUGCUGUACAAAAAGAGCUGGGUAUGGUGACACGUGCCUGCAAUCCCAGGUAGUCAGGAGGCUGAAGCCAGAGAAUCGCUUGAACCCGGGAGGUAGAGGUUGCAGUGAGCCAAGAUCGCACCACUGCACUCUAGCCUGGGUGACAGAGCGAGAACCCUUCUCAAAAGGAAGAAAAACAAAAGAAACUAUUGGAACCUGGUACCGUUUUUGUGUGUGUGGAAUGGUAGAAUCUUGAUAAUUUUCUCCAUUUCUGUUGUUAGAAUUGGUCUGUUUAAACUUUCUGUUUCUACUGGCAUCAAUUUUGGGAACCUGCUUUUCCCUAGGAAGUUACCCAUUUCACAUGGUUUCACUGUUUAUGUUUAUAGAUGUGUGCAAAUAGCCAAUUAAACAAUUUUUC